CGAAAAGGCGACUAUGUGCUUGUCAAGUUAUUUACACCCAGUGUGAGACACAUGCAGGAGGGAAGGAACAACCCAUAGCCUCCAGCCUGCAGCUCUGCCCGAUUCCAAGUAGCAAAAAAAGGUUUAGAAGGUUGGUUUAAAUAAACUGGAUUUAAAUACUUCUGUGUCUGUGUGUGUGUUUGUCAGUGUGUAACUAUGUGUGUCAGUGUGUGUG